rnacentral:rRNA from 1 species
AGAGUUUGAUCAUGGCUCAGAUUGAACGCUGGCGGCAGGCCUAACACAUGCAAGUCGAGCGGUAGCACAGAGAGCUUGCUCUCGGGUGACGAGCGGCGGACGGGUGAGUAAUGUCUGGGAAACUGCCUGAUGGAGGGGGAUAACUACUGGAAACGGUAGCUAAUACCGCAUAACGUCGCAAGACCAAAGUGGGGGACCUUCGGGCCUCAUGCCAUCAGAUGUGCCCAGAUGGGAUUAGCUAGUAGGUGGGGUAACGGCUCACCUAGGCGACGAUCCCUAGCUGGUCUGAGAGGAUGACCAGCCACACUGGAACUGAGACACGGUCCAGACUCCUACGGGAGGCAGCAGUGGGGAAUAUUGCACAAUGGGCGCAAGCCUGAUGCAGCCAUGCCGCGUGUGUGAAGAAGGCCUUCGGGUUGUAAAGCACUUUCAGCGGGGAGGAAGGCGGUAAGGUUAAUAACCUCAUCGAUUGACGUUACCCGCAGAAGAAGCACCGGCUAACUCCGUGCCAGCAGCCGCGGUAAUACGGAGGGUGCAAGCGUUAAUCGGAAUUACUGGGCGUAAAGCGCACGCAGGCGGUCUGUCAAGUCGGAUGUGAAAUCCCCGGGCUCAACCUGGGAACUGCAUUCGAAACUGGCAGGCUAGAGUCUUGUAGAGGGGGGUAGAAUUCCAGGUGUAGCGGUGAAAUGCGUAGAGAUCUGGAGGAAUACCGGUGGCGAAGGCGGCCCCCUGGACAAAGACUGACGCUCAGGUGCGAAAGCGUGGGGAGCAAACAGGAUUAGAUACCCUGGUAGUCCACGCCGUAAACGAUGUCGAUUUGGAGGUUGUGCCCUUGAGGCGUGGCUUCCGGAGCUAACGCGUUAAAUCGACCGCCUGGGGAGUACGGCCGCAAGGUUAAAACUCAAAUGAAUUGACGGGGGCCCGCACAAGCGGUGGAGCAUGUGGUUUAAUUCGAUGCAACGCGAAGAACCUUACCUGGUCUUGACAUCCACAGAACUUAGCAGAGAUGCUUUGGUGCCUUCGGGAACUGUGAGACAGGUGCUGCAUGGCUGUCGUCAGCUCGUGUUGUGAAAUGUUGGGUUAAGUCCCGCAACGAGCGCAACCCUUAUCCUUUGUUGCCAGCGGUUCGGCCGGGAACUCAAAGGAGACUGCCAGUGAUAAACUGGAGGAAGGUGGGGAUGACGUCAAGUCAUCAUGGCCCUUACGACCAGGGCUACACACGUGCUACAAUGGCAUAUACAAAGAGAAGCGACCUCGCGAGAGCAAGCGGACCUCAUAAAGUAUGUCGUAGUCCGGAUUGGAGUCUGCAACUCGACUCCAUGAAGUCGGAAUCGCUAGUAAUCGUAGAUCAGAAUGCUACGGUGAAUACGUUCCCGGGCCUUGUACACACCGCCCGUCACACCAUGGGAGUGGGUUGCAAAAGAAGUAGGUAGCUUAACCUUCGGGAGGGCGCUUACCACUUUGUGAUUCAUGACUGGGGUGAAGUCGUAACAAGGUAACCGUAGGGGAACCUGCGGUUGGAUCACCU